rnacentral:rRNA from 1 species
GAUGAACGCUGGCGGCGUGCCUAAUACAUGCAAGUCGAGCGAACAGACGAGGAUCUUGCUCCUCUUACGUUAGCGGCGGACGGGUGAGUAACACGUGGAUAACCUACCUAUAAGACUGGGAUAACUUCGGGAAACCGGAGCUAAUACCGGAUAAUAUAUUGAACCGCAUGGUUCAAUAGUGAAAGACGGUUUUGCUGUCACUUCUAGAUGGAUCCGCGCCGCAUUAGCUAGUUGGUAAGGUAACGGCUUACCAAGGCAACGAUGCGUAGCCGACCUGAGAGGGUGAUCGGCCACACUGGAACGGAGACACGGUCCAGACGCCUACGGGAGGCAGCAGUAGGGAAUCUUCCGCAAUGGGCGAAAGCCUGACGGAGCAACGCCGCGUGAGUGAUGAAGGUCUUCGGAUCGUAAAACUCUGUUAUUAGGGAAGAACAAAUGUGUAAGUAACUAUGCACGUCUUGACGGUACCUAAUCAGAAAGCCACGGCUAACUACGUG